UACAGAGGUCUCAAGCGUUGUCCGGAAUCAUUGGGCGUAAAGCGCGCGUAGGCGGCCCGGUAAGUCCGUUGUAAAAAGUCAAAGGCUCAACCUUUGAAUGCCGAUGGAUACUGCCGGGCUAGAGUCCGGAAGAGGCGAGUAGAAUUCCUGGUGUAGCGGUGGAAUGCGCAGAUAUCAGGAGGAAUACCCAUAGCGAAGGCAGCUCGCUGGGACAGUACUGACGCUAAGGCGCGAAAGCGUGGGGAGCGAACAGG
rnacentral:rRNA from 1 species